GACGAACGCUGGCGGCGUGGAUUAGGCAUGCAAGUCGAACGGUAUCAUCCUUUCGGGGGUGAGAGAGUGGCGAACUGGUGAGUAACACGUAGGUUAUCUACCCUCAAGACGGGGACAACCCAGGGAAACUUGGGCUAAUACCGGAUGUGAGCAACUUUUAGUUGUUUGAAAGGUGGCGUAAGCUGUCGCUUGGGGAUGAGCCUGCGUCCUAUUAGUUAGUUGGUGAGGUAACGGCUCACCUAGGCAAUGAUAGGUAGGCGGCCUUAACGGGUGGUCGCCCACACUGGGAUUGAGAUACGGCCCAGACUCCUACGGGAGGCAGCAGUCGAGAAUAGUCUACAAUGGUCGGAAGACUGAUAGUGCGACGCCGCGUGAACGAUGAAUCCCUUCGGGGUGUUAAAGUUCUUUUAUAUGUGAGCAGUGCUUCUUAUAUUAACAGUAUGGGGAGAGAGAUAUUAGCAUAAUGAAAUAAGCAAACGGCUAAACUCCGUGCCAGCAGCCGCGGU
rnacentral:rRNA from 1 species